rnacentral:rRNA from 1 species
AAAAAGCGGAGGAAAAGAAACCAACAGGGAUUGCCUCAGUAGCGGCGAGUGAAGCGGCAAGAGCUCAGAUUUGAAAUCGUGCUUUGCGGCACGAGUUGUAGAUUGCAGGUUGGAGUCUGUGUGGAAGGCGGUGUCCAAGUCCCUUGGAACAGGGCGCCCAGGAGGGUGAGAGCCCCGUGGGAUGCCGGCGGAAGCAGUGAGGCCCUUCUGACGAGUCGAGUUGUUUGGGAAUGCAGCUCCAAGCGGGUGGUAAAUUCCAUCUAAGGCUAAAUACUGGCGAGAGACCGAUAGCGAACAAGUACUGUGAAGGAAAGAUGAAAAGCACUUUGAAAAGAGAGUGAAACAGCACGUGAAAUUGUUGAAAGGGAAGGGUAUUGCGCCCGACAUGGGGAUUGCGCACCGCUGCCUCUCGUGGGCGGCGCUCUGGGCUUUCCCUGGGCCAGCAUCGGUUCUUGCUGCAGGAGAAGGGGUUCUGGAACGUGGCUCUUCGGAGUGUUAUAGCCAGGGCCAGAUGCUGCGUGCGGGGACCGAGGACUGCGGCCGUGUAGUCACGGAUGCUG